AUUAAUAAUUAAUAUAUUUAAUAAAAAUAAUUUUAAUUUAAUAAAUAUUUUAAUGGGGGUUAAAGUAUUUUUUAAAGAAAAAAUUUUUAAAUUUAUAGUUAAUUAGUAUUGUGAAAGAAUUUUGAAAUAUUAUGAAAAAUAAAAUUUUUAUAAAGUAAUUUUUAUUUAUUGUAUCUUGUGUAUCAGAGUUUAUUAAAAAUUUUUAAUUUAUAAAUUAAUUUCUCGAAUUUAAAAGAGUUAAAUAAUUAUUAAAGUUAUUGUAGCAAAAUUAUUUUAAAUAAUUAUUUAGAAAUGAAAUGUUAAUCGUUUUUAAAUAUAUCUAGUUUUUAUAGAAAAAAAUUUAAUUUUAAAUUUAAAAAUUAUUUAAUUAAUUUAUUAAUUAAAUAAUUAUUUAAAUUUUAUAAUUUAAGGGAUAAGCUUUAAAUUAAAUUUUUAUCAUAUUAAAUUUUUAUUUUGAAAAUUUUAUAAUUUAUAUUGUUAAUAAAUUUUAUUUUGUUAUAAAUAAUUUCAUUUUUUUUAAAAUUUAAAUUUUAUUUAAUUUUUUAUAUAAAAUUUAUUUAUAAUUAUAUAAAGUUAAUUAUAAUGAUAAAAUUAGUAUAUUAUUUAAUAUUAAAUUAAAAUUAAUUUUUGAUUAAUAAUUAAAUUAAUUAAAAGGAAUUCGGCAAAUAUUUAUUUUCACUUGUUUAUCAAAAACAUGUCUUUUUGUUAUUUAAUUUAAAGUCUAAUCUGCCCACUGAUUUAUAAAAAUUGAAGGGCUGCAGUAUAUUGACUGUACAAAGGUAGCAUAAUCAUUAGUCUCUUAAUUGGUGACUUGUAUGAAAGAUUGGAUGAAAAAUAUACUGUCUCUUAAUUAAUAUAUAGAAUUUAAUUUUUUAUUUAAAAAGUUAAAAUAAUUUAAAAAGACGAGAAGACCCUAUAGAGUUUAAUAAAUUAUUUUAUGGAAGUUUUAUUUAUAUUUACUAAUAAUUUUAUAAAUUUAUUUAUUUUGUUGGGGUGAUAAAAAAAUAAAUUUAACUUUUUUUAAGUAAUUUACAUGAAUAAGUGAUUAAU
rnacentral:rRNA from 1 species